GUUCCCAUACGAUCACCGAAGUUAAGCAACGUCGAGCCUGGUCAGUACCUAGAUGGGUGACAGCUUGGGAAUACCAGGUACUGUAAG